GGCUCUGGGGCAUCAAUCCAACGCCUUGAACCCUGCCAGAUCCGGAAGGAAGCAACAGUAAGAGGUCCUCUUGGAUGUGGUGUCUCCAGAGCCUUU
rnacentral:SRP_RNA from 1 species